AUUGAACGCUGGCGGCAGGCCUAACACAUGCAAGUCGAGCGGAUGAAGGGAGCUUGCUCCUGGAUUCAGCGGCGGACGGGUGAGUAAUGCCUAGGAAUCUGCCUGGUAGUGGGGGAUAACGUCCGGAAACGGGCGCUAAUACCGCAUACGUCCUGAGGGAGAAAGUGGGGGAUCUUCGGACCUCACGCUAUCAGAUGAGCCUAGGUCGGAUUAGCUAGUUGGUGGGGUAAAGGCCUACCAAGGCGACGAUCCGUAACUGGUCUGAGAGGAUGAUCAGUCACACUGGAACUGAGACACGGUCCAGACUCCUACGGGAGGCAGCAGUGGGGAAUAUUGGACAAAGGGCGAAAGCCUGAUCCAGCCAUGCCGCGUGUGUGAAAAAGGUCUUCGGAUUGUAAAGCACUUUAAGUUGGGAGGAAGGGCAGUAAGUUAAUACCUUGCUGUUUUGACGUUACCAACAGAAUAAGCACCGGCUAACUUCGUG
rnacentral:rRNA from 1 species